AAUCACAGCGGGUGUUGCAAGAGACAUCCUGGCUGAAAUUUGAAGAUUAUUUCAAAACUGCUUGACCAGUACAGGGGCCACAGUUUUGGAAAGUAACAUCCGGACACAAGUGGAGCUGCGGGAACAGAACCUGGCCGUGGUGCAACCUGACCUUUUCCCUUUCCUUCCUUCCUUGGACAAUUAUAGUUUCAUCCGCGUGUGCUUUCCUCAAAGAUGCUAUUUAAAGGGAAACUACAUCUACUUGGCUCAAAUCAUCCCUGUGAAAUUGACACUUCUAUAGUAUUUGGUUUCAAUAAGACAAAAAUAAACACAAAUUAUAUCCAUU
rnacentral:lncRNA from 12 species